rnacentral:sRNA from 1 species
UGCCUUCAGUGCUGGCCGGCUUCGGCAAGUGCACGUCGGUGACUUUCAUCCAAUACCCUGUGAACCUUUGGCCUCUUGCUAGCUUCGGCCGGCAGAGGAUUUUACACAAACUCGAAUGUAAUGAAAUUUAUUGUCGUGCGCAAGCACUAAUGUACAACUUUCAACAACGGAUCUCUUGGCUCUCGCAUCGAUGAAGAACGCAGCGAAAUGCGAUAAGUAAUGUGAAUUGCAGAAUUCAGUGAAUCAUCGAAUCUUUGAACGCACCUUGCACCUUUUGGCAUUCCGAAAGGUAUGCUCGUUUGAGUGUCAUUGUACUCUCACACUCCCAAUGCUUUUGGAUUGGGAGUGGUGGACUUGGGUGUUGCUGCUUUACUGUGGCUCGCCUCAAAUGGAGUAGUGCAACUCUCGGUUGGACAUAGUACGGCGUGAUAAGUGUCUUCGCCGGCGCCUCACUAGAGGGUGGCCGAUCAGGAGCUCUGUGCUUCAAACCGUCUUCGGACAAUAUCUGACAACUUGACCUCAAAUCGAG